ACAGGAUACGAACCUGCACCUGAGAACUCAAAAUCCUCCGUACUACCACUAUACUACCUCCUAGUAAAGUCAGC
rnacentral:tRNA from 1 species